rnacentral:rRNA from 1 species
AAACGGUACAGGAUGUGCUUGCACAUCGCUAGACGAGUGGCGGACGGGUGAGUAAUGCUUAGGGAUCUGCCUCUGUGUGGGGGAUAACUAUUGGAAACGAUAGCUAAUACCGCAUAAUGUUUACGGACCAAAGGGGGCGUUUGCUCCCGCGCAGAGAGGAACCUAAGUGAGAUUAGCUAGUUGGUAAGGUAAUGGCUUACCAAGGCGACGAUCUCUAGCUGUUCUGAGAGGAAGAUCAGCCACACUGGGACUGAGACACGGCCCAGACUCCUACGGGAGGCAGCAGUGGGGAAUAUUGCACAAUGGGGGGAACCCUGAUGCAGCCAUGCCGCGUGUGUGAAGAAGGCCUUCGGGUUGUAAAGCACUUUCAGUUGUGAGGAAAGGUUAGAUAGUUAAUACCUGCUAGCUGUGACGUUAGCAACAGAAGAAGCACCGGCUAACUCCGUGCCAGCAGCCGCGGUAAUACGGAGGGUGCGAGCGUUAAUCGGAAUUACUG